rnacentral:misc_RNA from 1 species
GAUGAAGAACGCAGCGAAAUGCGAUAAGUAAUGUGAAUUGCAGAAUUCAGUGAAUCAUCGAAUCUUUGAACGCACAUUGCGCCCACUAGUAUUCUGGUGGGCAUGCCUGUUCGAGCGUCAUUUCAACCCUCAAGCCUGGCUUGGUGUUGGGGCUCUGCGUCUGCAGUCCCUUAAAUCCAGUGGCGGACACGCUAGGUCUCCGAGCGCAGUAGUUUCUUCUCGCUUCGGGCGGCCGGCGUGGGCUUGCCUCGCACCCAAUUUACACAAAGGUUGACCUCGGAUCAGGUAGGAAUACCCGCUGAACUUAAGCAUAUCAAUAAGCGGAGGA